rnacentral:rRNA from 1 species
UGGGGAAUUUUGGACAAUGGGCGCAAGCCUGAUCCAGCCAUGCCGCGUGCGGGAAGAAGGCCUUCGGGUUGUAAACCGCUUUGUCAGGGAAGAAAUCUUCUGAGUUAAUACCUCGGGAGGAUGACGGUACCUGAAGAAUAAGCACCGGCUAACUACGUGCCAGCAGCCGCGGUAAUACGUAGGGUGCAAGCGUUAAUCGGAAUACUGGGCGUAAAGCGUGCGCAGGCGGUUUUGUAAGACAGAGGUGAAAUCCCCGGGCUCAACCUGGGAACUGCCUUUGUGACUGCAAGGCUUGAGUGCGGCAGAGGGGGAUGGAAUUCCGCGUGUAGCAGUGAAAAUGCGUAGAUAUGCGGAGGAACACCGAUGGCGAAGGCAAUCCCCUGGGCCUGCACUGACGCUCAUGCACGAAAGCGUGGGGAGCAAAACAGGAUUAGAUAGCCCUGGUAGUCCACGCCCUAAAACGAUGUCAACUGGUUGUUGGGAAGGUUCCUUCUCAGUAACGUAGCUAACGCGUGAAGUUGACCGCCUGGGGAGUACGGCCGCAAGGUUGAAACUCAAAUGAAUUGACGGGGGC